rnacentral:tRNA from 1 species
GGAGGGAUGGCCGAGCGGUUUAAGGCGCACGCCUGGAAAGUGUGUAUAUGCUAGAAGCAUAUCGAGGGUUCGAAUCCCUCUCCCUCCGCCA